AUUGAACGCUGGCGGCAGGCCUAACACAUGCAAGUCGAGCGGCAGCGGGAAAGUAGCUUGCUACUUUUGCCGGCGAGCGGCGGACGGGUGAGUAAUGCCUGGGAAAUUGCCCAGUCGAGGGGGAUAACAGUUGGAAACGACUGCUAAUGCCGCAUACGCCCUACGGGGGAAAGCAGGGGACCUUCGGGCCUUGAGCGAUUGGAUAUGCCCAGGUGGGAUUAGCUAGUUGGUGAGGUAAUGGCUCACCAAGGCGACGAUCCCUAGCUGGUCUGAGAGGAUGAUCAGCCAAGCUGGAACUGGGACACGGUCCAAACGCCUAAGGGAGGCAGCAGUGGGGAAUAUUGCACAAUGGGGGAAACCCUGAUGCAGCCAUGCCGCGUGUGUGAAGAAGGCUUUCGGGUUGUAAAGCACUUUCAGCGAGGAGGAAAGGUUGAUGCCUAAUACGUACCAACUGUGACGUUACUCGCAGAAGAAGCACCGGCUAACUCCGUGCCAGCCGCCGCAGUAAUAC
rnacentral:rRNA from 1 species